UACGGAGGGGGCUAGCGUUGUUCGGAAUUACUGGGCGUAAAGCGCACGUAGGCUGCUUGGAAAGUUGGAGGUGAAAGCCCGGAGCUCAACUCCGGAAUUGCCUUCAAAACUCCCGAGCUAGAGUUUGGAAGAGGAGAGUGGAAUUCCCAGUGUAGAGGUGAAAUUCGUAGAUAUUGGGAAGAACACCAGAGGCGAAGGCGGCUCUCUGGUCCAAAACUGACGCUGAGGUGCGAAAGCGUGGGGAGCAAACAGG
rnacentral:rRNA from 1 species